CGUACACUCCUACGGGAGGCAGCAGUGGGGAAUAUUGGACAAUGGGCGCAAGCCUGAUCCAGCCAUGCCGCGUGAGUGAUGAAGGCCCUAGGGUUGUAAAGCUCUUUCACCGGUGAAGAUAAUGACGGUAACCGGAGAAGAAGCCCCGGCUAACUUCGUGCCAGCAGCCGCGGUAAUACGAAGGGGGCUAGCGUUGUUCGGAUUUACUGGGCGUAAAGCGCACGUAGGCGGACUAUUAAGUCAGGGGUGAAAUCCCGGGGCUCAACCCCGGAACUGCCUUUGAUACUGGUAGUCUUGAGUUCGAGAGAGGUGAGUGGAAUUCCGAGUGUAGAGGUGAAAUUCGUAGAUAUUCGGAGGAACACCAGUGGCGAAGGCGGCUCACUGGCUCGAUACUGACGCUGAGGUGCGAAAGCGUGGGGAGCAAACAGGAUUAGAUACCCCUGUAGUCCC
rnacentral:rRNA from 1 species